rnacentral:rRNA from 1 species
AGCGAACGCUGGCGGCAGGCCUAACACAUGCAAGUCGAACGAACUCUUCGGAGUUAGUGGCGGACGGGUGAGUAACACGUGGGAACGUGCCUUUUGGUUCGGAAUAACUCAGGGAAACUUGUGCUAAUACCGAAUGUGCCCUUCGGGGGAAAGAUUUAUCGCCAUUAGAGCGGCCCGCGUCUGAUUAGCUAGUUGGUGAGGUAACGGCUCACCAAGGCGACGAUCAGUAGCUGGUCUGAGAGGAUGACCAGCCACACUGGGACUGAGACACGGCCCAGACUCAUGCGGGAGGCAGCAGUGGGGAAUGUUGCGAAAUGGGCGAAAGACUGAAGAAGCCAUGCCGCGGGAAUGAUGAAGGUCUUAGGAGUGUAAAAUUCUUCCACCGGGGACGAUAAUGACGGUACCCGGAGAAGAAGCCCCGGCUAACUUCGUG